GACCAGACUCCUACGGGAGGCAGCAGUGAGGAAUAUUGGUCAAUGGGCGUAAGCCUGAACCAGCCAAGUCGCGUGAGGGAAGACUGCCCUAUGGGUUGUAAACCUCUUUUGUCAGGGAGCAAUUGGCGCUACGUGUAGCGUUAUCGAGAGUACCUGAAGAAAAAGCAUCGGCUAACUCCGUGCCAGCAGCCGCGGUAAUACGGAGGAUGCGAGCGUUAUCCGGAUUUAUUGGGUUUAAAGGGUGCGCAGGCGGAGGUGCAAGUCAGCGGUCAAAUUGCGGGGCUCAACCCCGUACUGCCGUUGAAACUGCAUCCCUUGAGUGCGCGAGAAGUAUGCGGAAUGCGUGGUGUAGCGGUGAAAUGCAUAGAUAUCACGCAGAACUCCGAUUGCGAAGGUAGCAUACCGGCGCGCAACUGACGCUCAUGCACGAAAGCGUGGGUAUCGAACAGGAUUAGAUACCCCAGUAA
rnacentral:rRNA from 1 species